rnacentral:rRNA from 1 species
GACGUAGGGCGCGAGCGUUGUCCGGAUUUAUUGGGCGUAAAAGAGCUCGUAGGCGGCUUGUCGCGUCGUCCGUGAAAAACCUGCAGCUCAACUGCAGGCUUGCGGUCGAUACGGGCAGGCUAGAGUUCGGUAGGGGGAGACUGGAAUUCCUGGUGUAGCGGUGAAAAUGCGCAGAUAUCAGGAGGGAACACCGGUGGCGAAAGGCGGG